rnacentral:rRNA from 1 species
AGUUUGAUCCUGGCUCAGGACGAACGCUGGCGGCGUGCUUAACACAUGCAAGUCGAACGAUGAUGCCCAGCUUGCUGGGUGGAUUAGUGGCGAACGGGUGAGUAACACGUGAGUAACCUGCCCCUGACUCUGGGAUAAGCGUUGGAAACGACGUCUAAUACUGGAUAUGAUCACUGGCCGCAUGGUCUGGUGGUGGAAAGAUUUUUUGGUUGGGGAUGGACUCGCGGCCUAUCAGCUUGUUGGUGAGGUAAUGGCUCACCAAGGCGACGACGGGUAGCCGGCCUGAGAGGGUGACCGGCCACACUGGGACUGAGACACGGCCCAGACUCCUACGGGAGGCAGCAGUGGGGAAUAUUGCACAAUGGGCGAAAGCCUGAUGCAGCAACGCCGCGUGAGGGAUGACGGCCUUCGGGUUGUAAACCUCUUUUAGUAGGGAAGAAGCGAAAGUGACGGUACCUGCAGAAAAAGCACCGGCUAACUACGUGCCAGCAGCCGCGGUAA